rnacentral:lncRNA from 1 species
AUUCACUCAAGUUAUAUUCAAUUAGAUUCAAACCCAAAUUGAAACUAAAUUCAAAUUCAACUUAAUGCAUUUCCAUUUCAUUUGAAUUUACAUUUCGAUUUACUAACUAAUUUAUUUCAUUCUAAUAGAACAUAUCAUAUUUCAAUUAACCAGUUCAAUUUCUAACCAACUUUUCAUUUCAUUUGAAUUACAAUUUCUGACUAAAAACUGACUCAAACUGAAUUUGCAGAUGAAUUUC